rnacentral:lncRNA from 1 species
UAAAUUUUUAAAUAUGCUCGAGUUUCCGUUUAGCACAGUGAUUCCCAACCUUUUUUUUGUCCUCGUACCCCCUUGGCUUAUAGUAAAUUAUCCGGUACCCCACGCUCAUGAGUACGAGGUACAGAUGCUGCGGAGGCGAGCCUCGAGGAGCACCCAUUUAGCAAUUUCACUAUACAGUAAAACCUCGAUUUUACGGACCUUGAUCUUACGGACUUCGGAUUUUACGGACACCAUCCCAAAAAAUAAAAUACCAGUAAAUAAUAAUAAUACAAUAUUUGCAUAAACUGCCUACAGUAUUGAGAUCCGCCAAGCUUCAAUAUGACCUCUACCGGAUUUUUUUAGAACUAUUAAAAAGGUGAC